UGGUCAGGUCAAACUUAAUGGUGAUAGAAGGGAGGUCAAAAGAUAUCGUAGCGAAAGAAGUCAUUGAUGAACAAGAGAGGGAAACCUUAAAAAUUCAAGAUUCUCCAAUAAAGGCACUUGAAAAAGGAAAAAGAACAACAUUGAUUAUUUGAAUAGAUGUCUGAAAGGAGACGGGAUGUGCGAUCAAGCACGAUGAACCUAAAAGAGGAAAAAAAGAGACCUUGACACUUUAAAUCGCUGCGAGACUUUCCACCAUGCAUGACAAAAAAAGGGAGCAAUCCACAACUUCAAAAGGCAAAGGCAUUGAGAGUGCAUAAGAGUUCCGAUGAAGGUGUAUGAUGGCAUGAUGGUCAAUAUAGUAAAAAUUAUCUAUGGG
rnacentral:lncRNA from 1 species